UCCCACAAUAUUUUAAAGUACAAUGUUUUGGGUUUUUUGAGGGUAAAGUAAAAGAAAAUAUGUUUUAAAAACUUUAGUUGUCAAAUUAUUUUAUUUUAAGCCUAUUUUAGAAAUUAGAGAUGUAUUGUUUCUUUUGGGUGCAUAUCACCAAUUAAUACGUUUGAUUUCAGAUCUACAACUUACUGCUUUGUAAACUUCGCCGAGCAAGGAGUAAAUAAUGCUGAAAAAUUUGACUAUGUCAUGCAGUUUUUGAAUAAGAUGGCUGGUAAUGAAUAUGUUGGAUUCAGUAAUGCAACGUUUCAGUCUGAAAGAGAAAGUGGAGAUCGAAAUUUUGCAAUAGGAUAUUACUUAAAAGAAAAGAAGUGUUUUCCAGAAGGCACAGACAUGGUUGGUAUAUUAGACUUCUACUUCCA
rnacentral:sRNA from 1 species